rnacentral:rRNA from 1 species
GAUGAACGCUGGCGGCGUGCCUAAUACAUGCAAGUCGAGCGAACAGACGAGGAGCUUGCUCCUCUGACGUUAGCGGCGGACGGGUGAGUAACACGUGGAUAACCUACCUAUAAGACUGGUAUAACUUCGGGAAACCGGAGCUAAUACCGGAUAAUAUAUUGAACCGCAUGGUUCAAUAGUGAAAGACGGUUUUGCUGUCACUUAUAGAUGGAUCCGCGCCGCAUUAGCUAGUUGGUAAGGUAACGGCUUACCAAGGCAACGAUGCGUAGCCGACCUGAGAGGGUGAUCGGGCACACUGGAACUGAGACACGGUCAAGACUCCUACGGGAGGCAGCAGAAGGGAAUAUUCCGAAAUGGGCGAAAGCAUGACGGAGCAACGCCGCGUGAGUGAUGAAGGUCUUCGGAUCGUAAAACUCUGUUAUUAGGGAAGAAAAAAUGUGUAAGUAACUAUGCACGUAUUGACGGUACCUAAUCAGAAAGCAACGGCUAACUACGUG